rnacentral:rRNA from 1 species
GACGAACCGUGCGAACGUUGUUCGGAAUCACUGGGCUUAAAGGGCGCGUAGGCGGGCUGACAAGUCUGGGGUGAAAUCCCGCGGCUCAACCGUGGAACUGCCUUAGAUACUGUCGGCCUCGAGGAAGGUAGGGGCAUGCGGAACUGUAGGUGGAGCGGUGAAAUGCGUUGAUAUCUACAGGAACUCCGGUGGCGAAAGCGGCGUGCUGGACCUUUUCUGACGCUGAGGCGCGAAAGCUAGGGGAGCAAACGGGG